rnacentral:rRNA from 1 species
UACAGAGGGGGCAAGCGUUGUUCGGAAUUACUGGGCGUAAAGGGCGCGUAGGCGGCCUUCUAAGUCGAACGUGAAAUCCCCGGGCUCAACCCGGGAACUGCGUCCGAUACGGGAAGGCUUGAAUCCGGGAGAGGGAUGCAGAAUUCCAGGUGUAGCGGUGAAAUGCGCAGAUAUCAGGAGGAACACCAAUGGCGAAGGCAGCUCGCUGGGACGGUACUGACGCUGAGGCGCGAAAGCGUGGGGAGCGAACAGG